UCUCACCGUCUGCGUGCCUCCUCUCACCGUUCCCUGCUCCUUGACUCAGUUUUGGUUUUGUGAGCAUUUCCUCAGAGCUCUGAUUCCUGCCCUGUUUCAGCACAUUCCUGUGGCCUAGGGCUGCUGUGCCACUGCUGUGGUGCCUCCGUGGUCUCCCACCCAGCAUCUCACCCACCCAUGUGGCUUCUGCCCAAGCCAAGCUCUGUAUUUCCAUGCUGAGGAAGGAAUAUUCUGGCAGUUUCUUCCUCCCUUCUACACUCCUGAACCCAUAACAGCAUAGUGAGGGGUUCCCUGUCCUCGAGGAGAGCUUGGUCACUUAGUGCAGCCUCCUCACAAGUCCCCUGCUCAUCUCAUUUCUCCUGUAAAUAGGGUAUUUUUCAAGGUUUAACUCCAUCCAUGAAUACAACAGCUUUAAAAUCUGCGGAAGCACACGACAACUGGCUUACUGUUCCCCAGUUAACGUUUGAGCAGUCCCACUGCCUUAGAAUCAGAGGUAGUAAAUCAGAAAUGUUGCUUUUAUUCAUCCUUCCUUUCAGGUUCCUUCUGCCUCCUUGAGAAGCUGACUUUCUUGCUGGAGUCUUUUCCAGCUGGCUGAGGCAUUUUGGAGAGUCUGAGGAAAAACAGGGACUUUGGAGGCAGCCUUCUGCACUGGGAACCUGCCCGUGAGUUGGGAACAGCGUGGGGCAAGCUCGAGGUGUUUCUCUCAGGUUGCUGCCACUGAAAUACCAUCGGCUGCGGUCGGUUCCUUGCUGCAGGCAGCAGCACAGUGGCAGCCCCAGUGCUCCCCGUUCCCUGGUGGUGGCCGCGGCUGCUGCCCUGGCACCUUGUGCCAGCGGCUUUUGGCUUCACCACCGUGUGCUGUGAGAGCCAGAGAGGCAGUGGUGUGGGGAAAACAGGAAGCGGCGAGGGGCUGAUCUUUUUAUACUUCAGUUGGUCGGUGAUAAAAUGAGAAGUUAUCUGCUGCUCUUAUCUAAUAGUGAGUUCUUUUACUUCCUGUGUUGCUGCAGUUAAUGUAGAAACCCUCUUUCCUCAUGAACUUCAUUUCCUUGAGGUUGUUUUUUUACUAAAUUCACAGCAUGCCCUCCGCACGCCCUGAUGCGGGCAGCUUUCGGGUCACAUCCUGCCCUGAAGCUACGCCUUGGAAAAGAGGUGGUGCAGGAGCUGCGGGCUGGGAAUAAUGCCUGCCGUGGUCCUGUGCUUGCAGUUGGCAUCUGUCCAGCAGAAGGCAAAAUACUUCAAAAAGGAGGAGGGUGGAGAGAAGAGGUGCCGUGAACGGAGGCUCCCCUGCAAAGGGGCAGAGCUGGGGCCGGGGCCAGCCUGCUCUGGGGGCAUGCAGAGAGCAUGGCUCUGGACCAGUGCCUCCAGCUGGUGGCCCCCCACGCCAGCCCUGAAAGGUCUCAUGAGUGUGCACAGGGCUCCUCACAGUCCCGUGGGAACCUGGGUCUUGAGAAGAGAGGAUUUGGCCAGAAGCACGCCUGUACCUCUGCAUACGGGUACAGGAGGUGGGAGGAGAGGGAGAGCUUGGGCUGUGCUGGCUUCUGCUUGUACCAGCACCCUGCCCGUGCUGCCGUGCUGGCAGAAUAACUGUGGGGUUUUCCUUCUCCACCCCAAUAGUGAUUGGAAAGUUGUACUUGAGUGUCUGGAGCAUUGUGCACAAAACCCAGUGGGCAUGAGGGGUUGCCAGCUAGGUAGGUGCUGGGUGAAUGCCUGGGAGGCAUCCAGGGACUCUCGUUUGGACAAUUCCAAAGCAAACUGGAGCAAAUGGCAGGGGCCUUCAGAAGGAGGGAGAGCUGCAUCCCAAAUGCUUUGCUUGCAACUGUAUUUCUGUGCUGGCAAAUACACCGGCAUCAAUGUAAAUCAUUGCCUGGAAAUUCCUGUGCAUAUAUUACCAGCCGGUGACAUCUUUAUUUGCUCCUUGUUUAUCUGGGAUCGCAAUGCCAGAAAAAAAUCCCCUAUAUGUUUCCUUCAGCUGCAUAAACAUUACUUGUCAGUGACCUCAGCUAUUUGCCAGUGGGCUGUGUGUCCCCAGAGCUCCUCCAAAGCUUUUAGGGCCGUUGUGCUCCCCAGUAAGCGCUCGGUGCUUGGGCUGGUCCUGCAGAGCAUGGUCUGCCUUGAACUUGAGCCUGGAGAGCACUCUGUGCCUGGCUGCAGAGCAUCCCUGUCCUUGUCCCUUGCUGCCUCCUGGAAGGAACAGGGGCUGGAGAUGUGCAAGGGGAGAGCUUUGCAACACUCAAAUCACCUGUGCGUGCUGCAGGGUUGGACUGGUGUUGAGGCCAAGGCUGGACUUGAUGCUCCUGCUAGGAGGGGAUGGAAAGCAGCCGCUGUUGGCCUGGGGGAGGCUGUGACCUCGCAGAAAUUAUCCUCUUGGAUUAUUUGGGAAAUCAGCUUCCAAACAACACAUAUUGAUGGUGAAUUAUAGCCAUGGGCCGGCGAGCUGCCCUGACAACCUCCACACUGUGUUUCUAGUGGAUGCUAUCCUAGGGGUUUCAUUACUUCGGGAGGCUGUAGGGCUCAGUGUGAGUGUGGUUUCGCUCCCAGUCCCAGCGUGUUGCUCCAGGGCUCACUUGGAGCAACUUCUGGGGGUGUGCUGCACAUGUAGCCCGGGGCCACGUGCUGCCUGAGCACUCUUUAAUCCUGUCUUGGGUGCAGAUCAAAAAGCCAGUGUGCCACCUGGCCAGUGCUGCUGGCUGCCUCACCUUUCCCACCAGGCUGUCUGGAAAGAGGGUGCAAAGCACCGGCUGGGUGCUGUGGCAUGGGAUGUGCUGUAAUCACCAUUCCAGCACUAUUACAACGAGCUCUUCUUGCAGUUCUUUAGGAAAUAGGCACUGAGACUGAGCAUAAAAUAAUACGUUGCUUUAAGAGUUCACUACAUAGCAGGCUCUAGAAUUAAUAUGGAGGACUUAAAUUUUGAGUUUCGAAUGAACCAUCCGGAAAAUGAGGGUGUGAAGACCUCUCACCACCCCACCGGCUCUCUGGAAAUCCUAAAAAGGCAGAAUCUGUGGUGUUUUACUGUGUUGAGCAAUAGCUCACCGUGACUGUGGCAGAACUACACCUACAAAUUAGCACAGAUCAACCAGAGUGAGAGUUGCAAAAUCUGUCCCUGAACUUCCAUGUUUGCAACCUGAAAAUGCAGGUAAUCGGUCUGCAGAUCAGUUCAGGAUCCUCCCGAUGUAAAGGUGAAAGUACUCACAUGAUAAUUAAAUCACAUCUAGGAGAAGUAAGGAGGAAUUGAUAACUCUCAACAUAGAGAGCACGUGGUGAGAACAUCCUGCAGCUACCCUUCUUCAGCACAACACAGCACAACGUCAAGUAGCUGGUUAAUACAGAAAGAAACUUUACACUUCCUUAAAUUCAAAGCCCAGUUCUUGAUUUAAAGGAAAGAAGUGGUUGCAGAGCACUGUGAUGUCCUGGUGUGCCACUGGUAUUUCUGCUGGACACCUGUGGUUGCAGCAGAGCUGGUUCAGCUGGAGUAAGGCUGGUCAUCGGUGCCUGAGGACUUGGUUCCAAGUGCCUGGUCCCACCAGCUUCAGCUAGUGCCGUAAACAGAAGGAAAAGCUGCAAAGCACACCCAGAAAAACUGUAUUUUGUUGAAGCACAGAGGAAUGGCAUACAUUUCAACCCUUUGAAGUCAGUAGGCUAUUCGUAAAUUCACUAAAAAAGCAGGUAAGUAAUGACUUCCUUUCUUAAAGCCUGCCUCACACGUCCUCUCAUUUCAGCCCUGUUGCAGUGGGUUGGAUGGCUUGAUGGAUCUGCAGAACACCCCGCACGAGGAUGCCAGCGGUGCACAGCUCCUCAUCAGCCCUCUCUGUGCUGUGGACCACCAACUGGGAGAAGCUGACACCUCCUGGAAAUCUCUGAAGGAUGGCCUCCAACUUCGUUGUCCCAAAGGAAUGAAUACUGGGGUUGCUCUCCUGGCUAGCCUGAAAAAGCACGGAUGUGUGUGGAAUAAAGCACAGCCCUGCAAGGAACCACUUCUUGCUGCGAGCCUGUACCGGGGAAUGCUGCUCUCAUCCAAGGAAAUUCCUCCUGCUCAUCCUUGACCUCCCAGGCUGCUGGCUGUGAUCCAAGGAAGAUCUCCUCCUCCAGCAGCGUGGCUGCAGUACGCCUGAUGUGCAGGAAGAGACCUUGUGAAGAGUUACAGGUCCCCGCCAGGAGUUACAGGUCCACCCUGUCCCUGCCUGCUUCUGCCAGCUGUGCCCAGGAGAACCCACGGUGCUGCUCACUGUCACCUCAGCAGCUGGGUGGCUUGGAGCGUAGCCAGGGCUGGGCUUUUCUUCCAGAAAUGUGCUGCUGCUAUGGAUAUCCAAGACACAAUUUAAAGGUGUUUCAGUUGCACUUAACCACUCUACGAAGUGUUUUUCAGCUAAUGGCAGAUUCUGUAGCAGUACCUUCGAGUUCCCCCUGUGAUGUGGUGCAGCCUGAGGGUCUCCAGGAUCCUUUUCCUUCUCAGCAGGAGAAGAUUCCUCCUGUAUUGCCAUAAUCAAGAUGAUUGGAAGGGGAUGGGGGAGAAAAGUUGUUCAUACACUCUGGUUCUGUUAGGCUCUAAAAUAUAUGAAUUCCUCUCUCCCUAAACAAUAGGAAGUGACAUUUUCUUCCUUAAUUAAAACUUCCAAGGAGCCAAGGCACGAGCAGCAUCCUGCUGGGACACUGAUUGCAGAAAUCGAUCUAAGUGUUAAUUGUCCGGACUCGAACCCUCUCCUGUGUGAAGACAACAAAGAGAACGAGAGCUGCACUUGGAUGUUUGCUAUUUUUACAUACAUGGCACGGGAGGGAGGGCUACGGCUUCCCUCUGCUGUGUGCUGCCACGCAGCAUGGUGUGCAGGUAGGGGAUGGAGAAGAAAACUGAGCUGAUGGCAUUGAUGCUACAGCGUUCUUCAGCCUGGCCUGAAGGGAGAUUUUACCUCCUUGUGUUGCAACCCAGUGACACAGGAUUUUCCAAGAAAAAACUGACUCCACCUUUUUAUUAUGACUUUUUAUUUUGUUUCCAGCUGGGGCUGUGUGUGGACUUGCAUUUGUUACCGUGUCUGCAAGUGCAAUCUGAGACAAUUGAACCUUCCUAAAUUGUUGCUGAGUCUAUAUGCUGUGUGCCAGCAACAAUUAUAAAUCCUGUUGCUGUUGUUGCCUGGGGUCUGCCAUUUCUCUCCCAGUUAAAUGUGUCAUAUUUUUGUUGAAUGCCAACAGCACAACACUGAGAAGAGAUAAAUACACCAUGGGCACAAUGAAUCACGAGCUCUGGUAGCCUCGCCCUAGUCCCAAGAGACUGUCUGGAGCUGGCCAAAGGAGAAAACACCAUGGCCUGUUUUUCUUUUACUUCCCUUUUGCUUGGAGAGUGCACCCGUGGGAAUGCAGGAAGCAGGAGGCAUCGUGCCCAUGCAAGAAUCCCGGAUGCCAAGAGGAGCAGGAGCGCCCAGCAGGGAGGAGGCUGGCACCACACUGCAUUGCCAGGGGGCGCAGGAUGCUCCUGCUGCCCAGGGCAGGCUGCCCAGCUUCUGACCAGGGUGAUGGAAAGAGCCGUGGCCAGCACAGUGAGUGCCAGGGGGACACCACGAGUCGGUGACAGCAGCCUCCCAUGAAGGCAGCUCGUGAGUCGGAGACUAUGGGCAGAAGUGUGCCCGUGUGGUGCUGUGCAACCCCUGUGCUCUGCUCAGGGCAGGCUGGGCUUCAGAACAGCCAUCUGCAGCCAGGCUGGGGCAAUAAAAAUUUAACCUCUGGCUGGGGAGGAACUGGAGGUAAGCAGCAAGAAGGACGGCAGAGUUUGGCAACACGACCCGUGGGGACAGGCUGAACGAACUGGUGUUGUUCUACCCAGAACAAGACAAGGGAGAUGAGUUAACCUCUAAAUAUAUAACAGCCUACUGCAGAGUAUGUCAAUAAACUGUUCUCUGUGCCCACUGGGGACAAGGGAAAAAUUACAACAGCAGGGAUUUUGAAAAGACGGUGAGAGAAAGCUUCCAACUGCAGGAUAAUUAAACCCUGGCAGAGAUACAGCUUGCGACAUCUCCAUCAGUGGAUGUUUUUAAGAUCAGGUUAGACAAACCUUUGUCAAGAAUGAUGCUUUGGGGCAAGGAGGAUGGACAGUGUGGAUUCGGGGGACCUUCUGAACUCUCAUUCCAAUUGUUUCCAGCUGGUUUCACUGCACUGACGUCAGACGCUUCAGGAGUUUUUUGCUGUAGCACAGAGCAAGGCCAUUCCUGCAGGUUCCUGUGUGCUUCAAGGAAAGCCAGGCUGAGCAACAGAGACAGGGGCAACUUUUUGUCAUGAAGCUAUUAAAGCUUUAAUCAAAGAGCUGAGGAACUGAAGCUAGGACUGAAUAUAUUUAUUUUUUUCACAUAAACACCACUCAAAGCCACCCUUACAUGCCUCUCAGUAAAGGAGUCCUGUUCUUCCCAAACUUCUAGCGUUAGCAGGCAUGGAGCACAAACGCUCCUCGCUGGAGAGCUGACUGCUUGUCUGCAAUGUUUCUAGCAAGAGCUGCUACGCUGUGCUCUUCCUCCUCUGACCAGACAGCUGUACCUUGGUGUGUGCACGUAGCCAGGGGGCAAAGCUGUGCCAGCCACCACCCUGAGGCCUGUUCCUUUCCGUGCAGCCACCCAGGGGCCUGGCAGCCGAGCCUGGAGGAGGAUCCGUAACGCCAGGAUGUGCUUCUUUGUGUGCAGCAGCAGCUACUGGUGCUGGCAGUGGGAUGAGAGCCUCUGAACUGGCUGGGAUGGGACACGUGCUGGGACAAAAGCCUUCUUUUUGUGAUGUUCCUCUUUCAGGCUGCGCGGCCUUUUAGAGUGGCAGAAAAAGAGGAGAGCCUGUGACUGCAAAGCUCACCCUGCAACCGCUUGUUCUUCUGCAGUGUAGGGAAAAGCAUCUCAGACAAAGAAGCUGGAGACAGCGUUGCUCCCUGGAAAGAAGCACGGCCAGAAGGCAGGAGUCAAGAGUGAGAUGAGGCAGCAUGCUCGGUGUGUCCCUCUGGAAUUUGGCUGCUCUCCCUUGCUCCCCCUGUGGUCCCUGCUGCCUGCCCCAGGGCACGGCAAGGCAGGUGGGUGAGGUUCACCCCGCGGGGCCACGGGAAGGAUUUGCUGCUUUCGUUUAUCUUCACAUUUUGUAACUGCUUCCAAAGCCAGGGAAGGUUUCCCUCCUUGAUGGGUGGUCCCUUCACUGGCAGCAUCAGGGUUUGAAGCCUCAGUGCAGCAAGAGGGGAAGGAUGAGUGGUGCCAUGAGGAGAGGAAGUGCUUGCUGUACCAGCUGGGGGAUUUGAGCAGUUAUGCUCCCUCCUGCAAGCUGUGGGGGGAUCCGAGGUGCAGCUGAGGAGCCGUGAGAGGGACUGCACAGCGGGAGACGUGGGGGCAAGCAGGUGCGUUACCCACCUGGGCCUCCAGGGGAGGAUCUGGCUGCUGCUGGGGGACGGUGGCUAUGUUCCGCGAUCUGACUGCAAAAGGACCAGCAAGAUGCUCAGUGAAGGAUCUUACCCCCAGGCCAAGACCUUUCAGAGCAACCAUCCGCAUAAACCAACAUGAUUAGUGGUAAGUGUGGGCUGGCCAGCUGCCUUUCUUGCUUGUGAUCCUGCUCAAAGGAGCCUCGCAAGCUCAGCUUAGCUUCAGUGUGUAGAUUUAACCACCUUGUAAGUGCUGGGAAGCGUCCGAAACCAUUUUGCCCAUGCAGCCAAGCGCCUCUGUCCUGUGAUACCUGUUAUAAAUGAAGUCUCAACUCAAUCUGAA